UCGUAGUAGAGCAACAGGGAUUGCCCCAGUAACGGCGAGUGAAGCGGCAACAGCUCAAAUUUGAAAUCUGGCCCCCGGGUCCGAGUUGUAAUUUGCAGAGGAUGCUUCGGGCGAGGUGCCUUCCGAGUUCCCUGGAACGGGACGCCACAGAGGGUGAGAGCCCCGUCUGGUCGGACACCGAGCCCGUGUGAAGCUCCUUCGAAGAGUCGAGUAGUUUGGGAAUGCUGCUCAAAAUGGGAGGUAUAUGUCUUCUAAAGCUAAAUAUUGGCCAGAGACCGAUAGCGCACAAGUAGAGUGAUCGAAAGAUGAAAAGCACUUUGAAAAGAGGGUUAAAAAGUACGUGAAAUUGUUGAAAGGGAAGCGCCCAUGACCAGACUUGGGCCCGGUGAAUCACCCGGCGUUCUCGCCGGUGCACUUUGCCGGGCACAGGCCAGCAUCAGUUUGGCGCGGGGGACAAAGGCUUCGGGAACGUGGCUCCCUCGGGAGUGUUAUAGCCCGCUGCGUAAUACCCUGCGCCGGACUGAGGUACGCGCAUCGCAAGGAUGCUGGCGUAAUGGUCAUCAGCGACCCGUCUUGAAACACGGACCAAGGAGUCGUCUUCGUAUGCGAGUGUUCGGGUGUCAAACCCCUACGCGGAAUGAAAGUGAACGCAGGUGAGAGCUUCGGCGCAUCAUCGACCGAUCCUGAUGUUCUCGGAUGGAUUUGAGUAAGAGCAUACGGGGCCGGACCCGAAAGAAGGUGAACUAUGCCUGUAUAGGGUGAAGCCAGAGGAAACUCUGGUGGAAGCUCGCAGCGGUUCUGACGUGCGAAUCGAUCGUCAAAUAUGGGCAUGGGGGGCGAAAGACUAAUCGAACCUUCUAGUAGCUGGUUUCCGCCGAUCUUCUCCCCCCCCCUAAGGUUUAGACACA
rnacentral:rRNA from 1 species